rnacentral:rRNA from 1 species
UACGGAGGGUGCAAACGUUGCUCGGAAUUAUUGGGCGUAAAGCGCACGUAGGCGGCCGACUAAGUCGGGUGUGAAAGCCCAGGGCUCAACCCUGGAAGUGCACUCGAAACUGGUCGGCUUGAAUAUGGAAGAGGGUCGCGGAAUUCCCGGUGUAGAGGUGAAAUUCGUAGAUAUCGGGAGGAACACCAGUGGCGAAGGCGGCUCACUGGCCCGGUACUGACGCUGAGGUGCGAAAGCGUGGGGAGCAAACAGG